GCGUGCUACACAUGCAGUCGAGCGAUGAAGCCCAGCUUGCUGGGUGGAUUAGUGGCGAACGGGUGAGUAACACGUGAGUAACCUGCCCUUGACUCUAGGAUAAGCCCGGGAAACUGGGUCUAAUACUGGAUAGGAACGUCUACCGCAUGGUGGAUGUUGGAAAGAAUUUCGGUCAUGGAUGGACUCGCGGCCUAUCAGCUUGUUGGUGAGGUAAUGGCUCACCAAGGCGACGACGGGUAGCCGGCCUGAGAGGGUGACCGGCCACACUGGGACUGAGACACGGCCCAGACUCCUACGGGAGGCAGCAGUGGGGAAUAUUGCACAAUGGGCGAAAGCCUGAUGCAGCGACGCCGCGUGAGGGAUGACGGCCUUCGGGUUGUAAACCUCUUUCAGUAGGGAAGAAGCGAAAG
rnacentral:rRNA from 1 species